AAAACAACAAUUUGAGAAGCAUAAAGAAGUUAGUGGAAGUUCAGCUAAUAAAUCAGAAAUGGAAAGAUAUCUUGCGGAAGAUAUUGAGUCAGAUAGUGAUGACUUUGAUAUAUUAAUGUGGUGGAAAGUUAAUGAGCCGAGAUUUCCUAUUCUCGCGGAGAUGGUUCGUGAUGUGCUAGCCAUUCCCAUUUCAAGUGUCGCAUCAGAAUGUGCAUUCAGCACUGGAGGUCGUGUUUUUGAUCCCUUUAGGAGUUCAUUAACUCCUAAAAUUGUGCAAUCGCUUAUUUGUGUUCAAGAUUGGCUUAGAA
rnacentral:misc_RNA from 1 species